GAACCAGUACCGUGAGGGAAAGGCGAAAAGAACCCCUGUGAGGGGAGUGAAAUAGAACCUGAAACCGUGUACGUACAAGCAGUAGGAGCCUACUUGUUAGGUGACUGCGUACCUUUUGUAUAAUGGGUCAGCGACUUAUAUUUUGUAGCGAGGUUAACCGAUUAGGGUAGCCGUAGGGAAACCGAGUCUUAACUGGGCGAAUAGUUGCAAGGUAUAGACCCGAAACCCGGUGAUCUAGCCAUGGGCAGGUUGAAGGUUGAGUAACAUCAACUGGAGGACCGAACCCACUAACGUUGAAAAGUUAGGGGAUGACCUGUGGCUAGGAGUGAAAGGCUAAUCAAACCGGGAGAUAGCUGGUUCUCCCCGAAAUCUAUUUAGGUAGAGCCUCGGACGAAUACUUACGGGGGUAGAGCACUGUUAAGGCUAGGGGGUCAUCCCGACUUACCAACCCUUUGCAAACUCCGAAUACCGUAAAGUACUAUCCGGGAGACACACGGCGGGUGCUAACGUCCGUCGUGAAGAGGGAAACAACCCAGACCGCCAGCUAAGGUCCCAAAGUCAUAGUUAAGUGGGAAACGAUGUGGAAAGGCCCAGACAGCCAGGAGGUUGGCUUAGAAGCAGCCAUCCUUUAAAGAAAGCGUAAUAGCUCACUGGUCGAGUCGGUCUGCGCGGAAGAUGU
rnacentral:rRNA from 1 species